GACGAACGCUGGCGGCGUGCCUAAUACAUGCCAGUAGAACGCUGAAGGAGGAGCUUGCUUCUCUGGAUGAGUUGCGAACGGGUGAGUAACGCGUAGGUAACCUGCCUGGUAGCGGGGGAUAACUAUUGGAAACGAUAGCUAAUACCGCAUAACAGUAGAUAUCGCAUGAUAUCUACUUGAAAGGAGCAAUUGCAUCACUACCAGAUGGACCUGCGUUGUAUUAGCUAGUUGGUGAGGUAACGGCUCACCAAGGCGACGAUACAUAGCCGACCUGAGAGGGUGAUCGGCCACACUGGGACUGAGACACGGCCCAGACUCCUACGGGAGGCAGCAGUAGGGAAUCUUCGGCAAUGGACGGAAGUCUGACCGAGCAACGCCGCGUGAGUGAAGAAGGUUUUCGGAUCGUAAAGCUCUGUUGUAAGAGAAGAACGAGUGUGAGAGUGGAAAGUUCACACUGUGACGGUAUCUUACCAGAAAGGGACGGCUAACUACGUG
rnacentral:rRNA from 1 species